AACGCAGAUUGCGCCCAUUGGCAUUCCUUUGGGCACACUUGUUCGAGCGCCGGUUGAACAAUAAGGCUCCGCCUUGCGUUGAACCUUCCUGGCAAAGGAACGUUCCAAACUUCUGGGCGACCGCCGUGGCCUGAAACGCAACACGCUGCGUCCGCAGGACUUUCGGCGCGCCGCCAGUUUACCGUCUCGCAUGGCCUCGGAUCAAGUGGGGAUACCCGCUAAACUUAA
rnacentral:misc_RNA from 1 species